rnacentral:rRNA from 1 species
AGAGAGAGACAUGCGCGCAUAUCAAUAAGCGGAGGAAAAGAAACUAACUAGGAUUCCCUCAGUAACGGCGAGUGAAGCGGGAAGAGCUCAAAUUUGAAAUCUUCAAGGUUCUACCUUGACGAAUUGUAGUUUAAAGAAGUGUUUUCUGCUGGAGUUUUGGUAAAAGUUCUUUGGAAUAGGACAUCAUAGAGGGUGAGAAUCCCGUAUUUGACCAUUAUUUCCAGCUUUGUGAUACACUUUCAAAGAGUCGGAUUGUUUGGGAAUGCAGUCCAAAAUGGGUGGUAAAUUUCAUCUAAAGCUAAAUAUUGGCGAGAGACCGAUAGCGAACAAGUACCGUGAGGGAAAGAUGAAAAGAACUUUGAAAAGAGAGUUAAACAGUACGUGAAAUUGUCAAAAGGGAAGCGUUUGACACCAGUGUUGUUUUCUCGAAAAUCAAUUAAAAAGAGUUAGGAUUUUGUUGUGUAUUGACCUUUAUCAGCUUUGCAUUCAUUUCUUGUCUUUUUUUAAUGCACUUUUCGUUUAACAAGUCAACAUCAAUUUCUUUUGUUGUAAAAGGGUCAUUGGAAGGUGGCUUUCUUUUCGGAGAAAGUGUUUAUAGCCUUUGGCCUCUGCAAUCGGAGAGAUUGAGGUCUGCAGCGUAGAUCCUUCGGGGUUAGAUACAUUUGUGCUAAGUUAUAGCCUUUUCAUAGACAACUUGUUGACUAUGAUCUGUCAUGUAGCUUACUCGCUUAUGCUAUUUUACCUACGCUUAGGAUGUUGAUGUGAUACUGCGAGC